CAGCAUAUGAGUGGGUUUUCAUAACACUAAGGAGCCUUACUGUGUGUAGGUGAUACCUACACUUCAACCAGGAGUUCUGACAGAUCAAGGACUAUUGCCCUACCAGCUGGGGAGUGACACGAGAGAGGCAUGGGCAAGGAACAGCAGCCCCGGGCACAGCGGUCACCCCGGUGGAGUCAGCGGCACCAUGAGAGGCACUACCCGGGAACAGCUCUGUACACCUUGACUGCUCACCGGCCAAGAGCAAGUCCCUGAGCCUGCUCCUGACACCCAGCCGGCUUGCUUCCCCGCCUCAUCUUUGACUGCUCUUCCUUUCAGUCACCCCUCAUCUUCCUUCUACUUCUGUGCAGGUCCAAGCAUCCUUGCUUUGGCUUAUUUUGUUCCCUCUGCCUGAAAGAGGUCUCUUCACCUGUCAAACUCCCGGGUACCCUUCAGACUGAGAUGAUUGUCCCCUUGAAUGUGAAUUUCCCUGAGGCAAAGAGGUUCUCACCAUUGUCUCAUUAUAACAAGGCU
rnacentral:lncRNA from 1 species